rnacentral:tRNA from 1 species
AAGUAAUGAAGUAAAAUUUACAUUUAGUUUCGACCUAAAAUUAGAGGUAACUCCUUACUUU